rnacentral:lncRNA from 1 species
GAACAUUCAAUCUCUUAAUGAGGAGAGGUGACUGCUGAAGGUGCACUGCAGUUACAUUGGAGACCCCAGCACAUUUGACAUGGCAGGAACAUGGGAUCACCUCUGAGGACAGAAGACACAGUGGAGUUGAGCUUGCCUGAGUCUACAAAGCAAGCCCAGACGAUUUUGUGGUGCUGAUGCAGUCGUCACAUGCAAUGCUGAUGCACCAUGCUCUCCACCGAGCCCGCUGCCUCCUGUUUGCUUCUCUCCACUUAAG